GUGCUCACUUCAGAAGCACAUAUACUAAAAUUGAAAUGAUACAGAGAAGAUUAGCAUGGCCCCUGCGCAAGGAUAACAUGCAAAUUCGUGACACGUUAAAAAAAAAC